CGCCGAUAAGGGCGGUUGGCUGGGCUCGCUCCCCCGCAGGGUCCAGCCCCGCCGUCCCCGCGCUGACCUGGGGAAGGGACGCGCACAGCCCCCUGUUCCCUGGGCGGUGCCGGAACCCUGAGGGACACGGAAGCCUGCCCGGAGGCCGCCCCGCCGAGGUGCUGCCCGCAGCUAAAUCAAUCAGAAAUUUCCGAGAGGUAACAAGUGGGAGCGACGUGCGUGUUUCCCCGGGAUUACGUCCAAAUGUCCUGAGUCAUGUUGGGCUUGUGCUGUAGGCGUGAGCUCGUCCUUUGCUGGCGGCACAGGGCCAGUCGGCUCAGGGUUAAUAAUAAAAUGCAAUAAACGCGUAAGCCAUAAACUUU